GACGAACGCUGGCGGCGUGCUUAACACAUGCAAGUCGAACGGAAAGGCCCUGCUUUUGUGGGGUGCUCGAGUGGCGAACGGGUGAGUAACACGUGAGUAACCUGCCCUUGACUUUGGGAUAACUUCAGGAAACUGGGGCUAAUACCGGAUAGGAGCUCCUGCUGCAUGGUGGGGGUUGGAAAGUUUCGGCGGUUGGGGAUGGACUCGCGGCUUAUCAGCUUGUUGGUGGGGUAGUGGCUUACCAAGGGUUUGACGGGUAGCCGGCCUGAGAGGGUGACCGGCCACAGUGGGACUGAGAUACGGCGCAGACGCCUACGGGAGGCAGCAGGGGGGAAUAUUGCACAAUGGGCGGAAGCCUGAUGCAGCAACGCCGCGUGCGGGAUGACGGCUUUCGGGUUGUAAACCGCUUUCGCCGGUGACGAAGCGUGAGUGACGGUAAUGGGUAAAGAAGCACCGGCUAACUACGUG
rnacentral:rRNA from 1 species